AAGCUCACUUUGACCACCAGAGGUCAGAAGCAAAACAUCUCAGCUACACCCCUGAGCCCUCAUUUCCUCAAUCGCUGUCCUGGAGAGGGAGAAGCGGAGGAAAAUGAGCAGAAAUACCGCUUCCUUCACAGUGAGGAGGAUGGAGACAGCAACAUGAAGGACCGCAGGCGAUGGAGGCGGAAGGUGGCAAGCAGCUCUCCAGAGAAGCUGGAAAAGGCCUUCAAGAUCAUCAACUCCAACCACCAGCCUGACCUACUGAGUCUCAGACAGCUUCCAUCUUUCCCUUUUGUUGAUCCCGUUCCUAAAAAGCUCAGAUACUGAGGAAUGUCACAGCAAGGACACCAGCUGAUCCAGGACAGAAAACCAGUGGAAACAAGGACCACAGAGUGAGAACAGUGCUUGCCUUGAACAACUUUUGGAAUUCAUCUCUUGCCAGUGGCAUUCAGUGACAUCUUGGCCACCAGUAAGUACUUCUGCACUGGAAAGUUACUUCAUGGGAAGGCAUUAAACAAACUCAGCCAGAAAGAAAAAUACAAUUUCUCUGGAGUGUAAUGUUCCUUUGUCUCACCAUAGUGUAGACGUGUUGUUACACAGUUGUCUGUGUUUAGUAAACACCGUGACUUAGAUCUCACUUUGUCAGUAAUACCCUUGCCAGAAAGCUGAACUCAGGGGAACCUCAAGCCAUCAGAAGUCCUUGCACAAAACAACCAUCAGCAAGCAGAGGAAGGGACCACAAACAUGACUUGGACAAGGUGGUUUAUGCCCCGUCAGCACAUGUUCGCAGCUUUGCAGUCAAACUGUAAUUCUAGCAAAAUCUGACACUUUGGAUGUUUGAUGGCAGCCCCAGGAGGCAGUGGCAUACAGUGCUAUCAGCACUACUGACAUUUUGACUGAAAGGUAAGAAGUUGACAUGCUAGGUCAUGGCUGUAGAAUGACGUCACGAGACAGGCGAGCUGAAUGCACAGGGUAUGUGUGUGUGCUUGGACUGAAUCAACAGCCCUAGCCCAGCAGUUUCAGGGUGCUGCCUAACUUUCAGAACUGCUCUUCUUCUAUGAGCUAUAUGCAACUUCUCAAACAUCUGUUCGGCAUAGAAGGGAUUAUUUUGAGACCAAAUUUCAAGCUUCAAAACCCAGGAUGUGUCUACACAAACAGGUGUGGAUGAGUGCCUUCACUUUGCAUAUUCUGAAAUGCAGGUGGAAGAGAAGCACACCUGCCUGCACCCAGCUGGGUGACAUGUUCUUAGAUGAUGUUCAAACCAUUGCCUUUUGCCUUUCCCCUCCAAAGAAGACUAAGAGAACCCCACAGUGAAUGUUAGGGAAGUGGUUUGUUCACUUUACUUUUCCACCCUUUUUAACCUCAAAAAUAGAAAAGCCUUUUUUUUUCCUAAAGCCUUCCCAAACUCAAAAUUCAUUUUCAGAUCAGUUUUCAUGCCUUGAAGGGAACAUAGCUGCAGCUGUUAUGUGUGCAAAAAUAGGAAGUUAUCUGGUCAUUUUUUUUUUGGCAGCCUUAACUUUUUUGUUGUGAAUCGGAGUAAAUACCGAGACAGCUGGUGCACCACAGGAAUCUGUGGCUGACAAAACUUCAGUGUAAGAAGCCUUAUUAAGUGGUACACGUGGCAGUCCUGAUCUAGAGGGUGGUUGGAGCAUAGCAGCAGGCUCAGCUGGAGCAUCAGCCUCCGAUCAAUGGUAAUAGAGCAGCCCUUUCUUCACUUGUUAUUGUACUGUAUCACAUGAGUAAUAUAGCUGGGGCACCAUGAAAGGGCUGUUUGGUUUCUUUUGUCAGAUAAAUUUUCAGGGAAAUUAUGGUC